GUUAAAUUGAAUGCAGAUGGGGAAAGGCAAAUCAACAUAUUUUACCCCAAAUUCCAAAAUGGUGAGGCUUCUAUCAAAGAUGUUAGAGAACCACAGAAUUUUGAUUACAUAGAAGAAAUAUAUGAGCUGUUAACAAAGUUAGAGCCAAAUGAAUUGAGGAUUGCACAAAAGACCCUAGAAGAUCAGGCCCCUGCACCAAUUAACACGAUGUUGACCAAGCAACCAAGAGAGGAGGCCAUUAUUAAACAAGCUGAAAGAAAGGCAAUGGUGACAUUAGAUGUACCUCCAACAAAUGAUCCAGACACCUUAGAAGCUGAGCCGGAGCCAAAAGUUAGACAUUGCAGUGCUGAAAAUGAAAGAAACUAUAUACAAAAAAUAAAAACAUAUAAGGUCUUUUAUUUAUAUUAUGGUUCAUCAGCAUAUCCCUUGUUUCCAUUGCUGCUUGGAAAAGUUUUUCUAAUGGCAUAAUACAAACACUCAGGCAAUGGUAUUGGUCUGUCUCCUAAAAUCCCAUAUAUCAGUCUUCUGAAUUCUCUGUAGGACACACUUCUCAGCAAUCUGUAAUAGAAGAGUAGAACAAAAAUUGACAAGCUUAUCAAGAAAUAAUUAGAAAAUCAUGUAAACUUGUUAGAAAUUUACAGAAAUCAACCAUUUUUUUAAAAUUUUUACAGAGCUUACACAUUUUUUUAAAUGAAGUCCUGUUUCUCUCGUUUAUCCAUUAGAAAUAUAUGGGGCUAAAAUAUUAGUUUUAUUGACUUUUGGAAUGGAUUGUUUCAGUUUAAAUUAGUUUAGAUACUGACUUUAAUUCUUCACCGGAUUUGUCAUAUUUUUUGCCUCUUCUGUCUUUGUAUUAGUCCGCUGCCAAACAAAGACUCUACUUUCUAAGGCAGACAUCUGUGAAGCCGGGGUGCUCUGUGAUACAAUGAGCAUCAACCUCCAAGACAGCCUUAACCUCUUCAGACUCUAAAGACUGCAUGCAUCCUUCUAAUUCUGUACAGCAAAGACACUCUUGCCAGUUGUGAAUGUGUUCCAUAGAACAUUUACCACAUUUACACCUAUAAAGAUCACAUUAGAUUUGUUGAAAGUUAAAAUAUAAGAUUUGAUGAGAAAUCGUUUAGGCUAAAAAGGUUAUUUCAUUUUUUUCUAGCAGAAAACCAACAAAAGUUAAAUAAAAGGUUUCUAUAAAAUUGGUUACAACUUUUUAGGAUAAGUUUUUCAGUAACAAAAAUUAAAGUGAAUAGGCUUCGAUAGAGAUGCAGAAGCUAGAAGAGAGUUUGAACAGCGUAAAUUUUAGAUUAAGUCCUGAGCUUUAUAAACUUUAUGUCCAUGUUUAAAUCCAGGUCUGUUACGCUAGAGAUCUCUCCAGCGUAGAUGUGUCCAUCAAGCCAUCAAGCUUUUGUCUAGAAUUUAUUAUUUACUGGCUAGUUUCCGUCUUAGAAAAACGAAUUACAACCUGGAAGGCCCCCUUAUUGCAUAUCAAUGUCAAGUCAUCUACCAUUUUUGAACCUCAGCUGAUCCAUCGAGUCUACGGCCAAGUUUCUUCUUUAUCUCUUCGUAUUCUUUACGCUUCUGUAAAUAUAUCCUUGCAUAUUCUUCAUCUGCCACUGGAUCUUCAACACAAGACGCCAUGUUUUCCGGGCCUAAGCCUAACGCAACUUUGUUGACAUCUUCAUCACCAUUUAAAAUAGCUGCUGAAGUCUCUUCAUCAAUUUCAAAUGAGUAGACAGAUGUUCCGCCAGAUUCUAUGCUGCUCUCAAACUUUGUGAACGUUCAGAAAGUCCCUUGUUGUUAUAUGUUUGCGUGCUUGCGCAGAAGGUGCAUUCCUGACUUUCGUCACAACAUGGUCAAGGAGCUAGGUCCCAGACCUCGUAAUACGCGGACCUGAGCCACACGGUUUAAUAGAAUAACCCCCAGAAAGUUUCUUUGCCCUUGCUUGCCCCCUCCCAGUUUUAUAAAAAAAAUUUCUAUUUAAACAUCGAGAUUUCUUCCAUAGCUGUUCAAUCGUUUGUUGACUUCGUUAGGGAUCUUUCUUUUUUUUCUGGCCCCCAGAAAUAGAAUAACCCCCCGAAAGGUUCUUUGCCCCUCCUUGCCCCUCCCAGUUUUACAAAAAUAUUUCUAUUUAAACAUCAAGAUUUCCUUCAUAGCUGUUCAAUCGUUUUUCGACUUUGUUAGGGAUAUUUCUUUUUUUAUUGGCCGCCAGAAAGUUUCUUUGCCGUGCUUGCCUCUUCCCAGUUUUUUAAAAAAAGUUUCUUUUAAAACAUCAAGAUUUCUCCCAUAGCUGUUCAAUCUUUUUUUGACUUUUUUAGAGAUCUUUCUAUUUUUCUGGCCCCCAGAAAUAGAAUAACCCCCCUAAAGGUUCUUUGCCCCUCCUUGCCCCUCCCAGUUUUACAAAAAUCUUUCUAUUAAAACAUCAAGAUUUCUUUCAUAGCUGUUCAAUCGUUUUUCGACUUUGUUAGGGAUAUUUCUUUUUUUUGGCCGCCAGAAAGUUUCUUUGCUGUGCAUGCCUCCUCCCAGUUUUUUAAAAAAAGGUUCUUUUAAAACAUCAAGAUUUCUCCCAUAGCUUUUCAAUCGUUUUUUGACUAUGUUAGGGAUCUCUCUUUUUUUCUAGCCCCCAGAAAUAGAAUAACCCCCCGAAAUGUUCUUUGCCCUUCCUUGUCCCUCCCAGUUUUACAAAAAUAUUUCUAUUAAAACAUCAAGAUUUCUUCCAUAGCUGUUCAAUCGUUUUUUGACUUUUUUAGAGAUCUUUCUUUUUUUUCUUGCCCCCAGAAAUGGAAUGGAACCCAGAAAGGUUCUCUGCCCCUGCUUGCCCCUCCCAGUUUUGUAAAAAAAAUUCUAUUAAAACAACAAGAUUUCUUCCAUAGCUGUUCAAUCGUUUUUCGACUUUGUUAGGGAUAUUUCUUUUUUUUGGCAGCCAGAAAGUUUCUUUGCUGUGCAUGCCUCCUCCCAGUUUUUUAAAAAAAGGUUCUUUUAAAACAUCAAGAUUUCUCCCAUAACUGUUCAAUCGUUUUUUGACUAUGUUAGGGAUCUCUCUUUUUUUCUAGCCCCCAGAAAUGGAAUUGACCCCGGAAAUGUUAUUUGCCCUUGCUUGCCCCCUCCCAGUUUUUUAGAAAAAUUCUGUAUUAAAACAUCAAGAUUUCUUCCAUAGCUGUUCAAUCGUUUUUUCACUAUGUUAUGGA